rnacentral:rRNA from 1 species
CACGUAGGGUGCGAGCGUUGUCCGGAAUUAUUGGGCGUAAAGAGCUCGUAGGCGGUGUGUCGCGUUCGGCCGUGAAAAACCUGGGCUCAACUCCAGGCUUGCGGUCGAUACGGGCAGGGCUAGAGUUCGGUAGGGGAGACUGGAAAUUCCUGGGUGUAGCGGGUGAAAAUGCGCAGAUAUCAGGAGGAACACCGGUGGCGAAGGCGGGUCUCUGGGCCGAUACUGACGCUGGAGGAAGCGAAAGGCGUGGGGAGCGAACAG